rnacentral:rRNA from 3 species
GACUCGUCACACUAUCAUUAACUGAAUCCAUAGGUUAAUGAGGCGAACCGGGGGAACUGAAACAUCUAAGUACCCCGAGGAAAAGAAAUCAACCGAGAUUCCCCCAGUAGCGGCGAGCGAACGGGGAGGAGCCCAGAGCCUGAAUCAGCAUGUGUGUUAGUGGAAGCGUCUGGAAAGGCGCGCGAUACAGGGUGACAGCCCCGUACACAAAAGCGCAUGUGCUGUGAGCUCGAUGAGUAGGGCGGGACACGUGGUAUCCUGUCUGAAUAUGGGGGGACCAUCCUCCAAGGCUAAAUACUCCUGACUGACCGAUAGUGAACCAGUACCGUGAGGGAAAGGCGAAAAGAACCCCGGCGAGGGGAGUGAAAAAGAACCUGAAACCGUGUACGUACAAGCAGUGGGAGCACCCUUUGGGG